rnacentral:rRNA from 1 species
UUGCCCUAGUAACGGCGAGUGAAGCGGCAACAGCUCAAAUUUGAAAUCUGGCUUCGGCCCGAGUUGUAAUCUGGAGAGGAAGCUUUGGGCGCGGCGCCAACUGAGUCCCCUGGAACGGGGCGCCACAGAGGGUGAGAGCCCCGUAUAGUUGGACGCCUAGCCUGUGUAAAGCUCCUUCGACGAGUCGAGUAGUUUGGGAAUGCUGCUCAAAAUGGGAGGUAAAUUUCUUCUAAAGCUAAAUACCGGCCAGAGACCGAUAGCGCACAAGUAGAGUGAUCGAAAGAUGAAAAGCACUUUGAAAAGAGGGUUAAACAGCACGUGAAAUUGUUGAAAGGGAAGCGCUUGUGACCAGACUCGCGCCGGGCUGAUCAUCCGGUGUUCUCACCGGUGCACUCUGCCCGGCUCGGGCCAGCAUCGGUUCCUGCGGGGGGAUAAAGGCUCCGGGAACGUAGCUCCUCCGGGAGUGUUAUAGCCCGGGGCGCAAUGCCCCCGCGGGGACCGAGGACCGCGCUCUGCAAGGAUGCUGGCGUAAUGGUCACCAGCGACCCGUCUUGAAACACGGACCAAGGAGUCAAGGUUUUGCGCGAGUGUUUGGGUGUAAAACCCGCACGCGUAAUGAAAGUGAACGUAGGUGAGAGCUUCGGCGCAUCAUCGACCGAUCCUGAUGUAUUCGGAUGGAUUUGAGUAGGAGCGUUAAGCCUUGGACCCGAAAGAUGGUGAACUAUGCUUGGAUAGGGUGAAGCCAGAGGAAACUCUGGUGGAGGCUCGCAGCGGUUCUGACGUGCAAAUCGAUCGUCAAAUCUGAGCAU